rnacentral:rRNA from 1 species
GAUGAACGCUGGCGGCGUGCCUAAUACAUGCAAGUCGAGCGAACAGACGAGGAGCUUGCUCCUCUGACGUUAGCGGCGGACGGGUGAGUAACACGUGGAUAACCUACCUAUAAGACUGGGAUAACUUCGGGAAACCGGAGCUAAUACCGGAUAAUAUAUUGAACCGCAUGGUUCAAUAGUGAAAGACGGUUUUGCUGUCACUUAUAGAUGGAUCCGCGCCGGAUUAGCUAGUUGGUAAGGUAACGGCUUACCAAGGCAACGAUGCGUAGCCGACCUGAGAGGGUGAUCGGCCGCACUGGAGCUGAGACGCGGUCCAGACUCCUACGGGAGGCAGCAGUAGGGAAUCGUCCGCAAUGGGCGAAAGCCUGACGGAGCAACGCCGCGUGAGUGAUGGAGGUCUUCGGAUCGUGAAACUCUGUUAUUAGGGAAGAACAAAUGUGUAAGUAACUAUGCACGUAUUGACGGUACCUAAUCAGAAAGCCACGGCUAACUACGUG